rnacentral:rRNA from 1 species
UACGUAGGGGGCAAGCGUUGUCCGGAAUCAUUGGGCGUAAAGCGCGUGUAGGCGGCCCGGUAAGUCCGCUGUGAAAGUCGGGGGCUCAACCCUCGAAUGCCGGUGGAUACUGUCGGGCUAGAGUGCGGGAGAGGCGAGUGGAAUUCCUGGUGUAGCGGUGAAAUGCGCAGAUAUCAAGGAGGGAACACCGAUGGCGAAGGCAGCUCGUGGGACGGUAC